rnacentral:rRNA from 1 species
UACGUAGGUGGCUAGCGUUGUCCGGAUUUACUGGGCGUAAAGAGCGCGCAGGCGGUCGUUCAAGUCGAGUGUGAAAGCCCCCGGCUCAACUGGGGAGGGUCACUCGAUACUGAUCGACUCGAAGGCAGGAGAGGGAAGCGGAAUUCCCGGUGUAGUGGUGAAAUGCGUAGAUAUCGGGAGGAACACCAGUGGCGAAGGCGGCUUUCUGGCCUGCUCUUGACGCUGAGGCGCGAAAGCGUGGGGAGCGAACAGG